ACAAUGAUGAUGUCACUGAUUCUACUGCUGGCCACCCUGGGGCUCCUUGUUCAGGGUUCAUCAGGACAAAUCAUCCUGACUCAGUCUCCUGGAUCUCAGUCUGUUGUUCCAGGACAGGCUGUCUCUCUCAAAUGUAAAGCCAGUUCAACUGUUAGAAGCUACCUCAGCUGGUACCUUCAGAAACCUGGAGAAGCUCCUAAACUCCUGAUUUAUGCAGCUACAACUCGUCUGUCUGGAGUUCCAGAUCGUUUUAGUGGAAGUGGAUCUGGGACUGACUUCACUCUGACCAUCAGUGGAGUUCAGGCUGAAGAUUCAGGAGUUUAUUACUGUCAGCAGGGUUCCAGCUAUCCGUUCACACAGUGAUACAACGUCGUACAAAAACCUCCCUCAGCAGGAGAGGAACUGAUCUGACUCAACAGCUGCACUGAAACUAAAACAACAGGAGGUUUAUAAAAAAACUUUUAGACAAUAACAACAACACUUUAAACAUUUCAACACUAAAUAUUCUGUAUUUAAGCCAAACAUUUAUAAUCUAAUUGAACUAUUCUUCUGAAAUUCACAAAGUAUCAUAACACUAAAAUUGUAAAUAUUUAUGAUUUUAUAUCUUACAAUUUUUCAUAGGAACUUCAACAUACUUAACGAAAUAUCAUCUCAAUAAAAUCUAAUUUCAUUCAAGUCAAAA